GGCUCAGGACGAACGCUCGCGGCGUGCCUAAGAAAUGCAAGUCGAACGGACAUCUUCGGAUGUUAGUGGCGAACGGUCGCGUAACACGUAGGCAACCUGCCCGAAAGUGGGGGACAACAGCCUGAAAGGGCUGCUAAUACCGCAUGUGGCCAGUGAGUGGCAUCACUUACUGUCUAAAGCUUUAUGCGCUUUCGGAUGGGCUUGCGGCCUAUCGGGUAGUUGGUGGGGUAAUGGCCUACCAAGCCGACGACGGGUAGCUGGUCUGAGAGGACGAUCAGCCGGAUUGGGACUGAGAUACGGCCCAGACUCCUACGGGGGGCAGCAAUUAGGAAUCUUGCGCAAUGGGGGCAACCCUGACGCAGCGACGCCGCGUGCGGGAUGAAGGCAUUCGUGUCGUAAACCGCUUUUUUAGGGGAAGAAGAAUGUGACGGUACCCUAAGAAUAAGCCCCGGCUAACUACGUGCCAGCAGCCGCGGUAAUACGUAGGGGGCGAGCGUUGUCCGAAGUUACUGGGCGUAAAGCGCGCGUAGGCGGUCAUUUAAGUUCGGGGUGAAAGGUUCAGCGCUCAACGCGAACAGUGCCUUGAAUACUGGGUGACUUGAGUUCGGGAGAGGGCAGUGGAAUUCCUGGUGUAGCGGUGAAAUGCGUAGAUAUCAGGAGGAACACCGAUGGCGAAGGCAGCUGCCUGGCCUAGAACUGACGCUGAGGUGCGAAAGCGUGGGGAGCGAACGGGAUUAGAUACCCCGGUAGUCCACGCCGUAAACGAUGAGUGCUAGGUGUUCGGGGUAUCGACCCCCCGGGUGCCGCCGCUAACGCAGUAAGCACUCCGCCUGGGGAGUACGGCCGCAAGGUUGAAACU
rnacentral:rRNA from 1 species